ACGAACGCUGGCGGCAGGCUUAACACAUGCAAGUCGAACGGAUGGCUUCGGCCAUCAGUGGCGCACGGGUGAGUAACGCGUGGGAACCUGUCUUUGGGUACGGGACAACCCGGGGAAACUCGGGCUAAUACCGUAUAUCCCCCGAGGGGGAAAGAUUGAUCGCCUGAAGAGGGGCCCGCGUCCGAUUAGCUGGUUGGUGGGGUAACGGCCUACCAAGGCAUCGAUCGGUAGCUGGUCUGAGAGGAUGGCCAGCCACACUGGGACUGAGACACGGCCCAGACUCCUACGGGAGGCAGCAGUGGGGAAUAUUGGACAAUGGGCGGAAGCCUGAUCCAGCCAUGCCGCGUGAGUGAUGAAGGCCUUCGGGUUGUAAAGCUCUUUCACCCACGACGAUGAUGACGGUAGUGGGAGAAGAAGCCCCGGCUAACUUCGUGCCAGCAGCCGCGGU
rnacentral:rRNA from 1 species